UUUCUGUGAGGAUAAUUUGGUCCAGUUCUGCUACUGAAUGCAAGUGGUGAUAACUGAAGACUCUGAGAAA